rnacentral:rRNA from 1 species
AUGUUGGGAUGGAUUCAACAUACCCAACUCAUCUCGGACCAGCAUGCCUCCAUUGGCUGGAAACUAACCACUUCUGGAAUGUACUCCUCGACCUUGGCUUACGCGACAGAAUUCCAUGGCUCCCACUCAAACUUCGACUCUUCCAAGAUCUGGUCCGCCCAUGUUGACCGAAAGUGCAAAAUUUUCUCCUUGUUGGUGCUGCACGAAAGGAUUCUCACUACUGACAUGCUCGCCGUGUAG